rnacentral:tRNA from 1 species
ACCCGUCUAGUCAGUCGGUAGAGCGCUGGCCUUUUAAGCCAGUGGUCGUGGGUUCGAUCCCCACGGGGGGUG